ensembl:lncRNA
GAACAACUCAACUUGCAGCGCGCGGAGCGGGGAGGACGCAUGUGGCCCGGUCUCUCGGCUGGUUUGGUUUGACACUGUGUGCGCACGGAGCUAAAGCCUCUUUCGCCCUUUGCGCCGGUGUUGUUAGGACAUUGCGCCAGUGUGAGAGGGGGAGGGGAGGGGGGGGACACCACUGCUGGAACACGUAACAGCGGGAUCCCUGCGAGUAUGGACGCCCUGCAGGCACAACGCGCUGGAGCAGGCGGCGUCGGGGAAGGGGACGCCGAGGAGAGGUACCGCGCUCUCGCCUUUGACACGGCUGUGAGCACCCUGGUGGCCGUGGCCGUGUACGCGGUGGUGAAAGUGAGCCUGGACGGCUUCAGACAGUGGCGGGCCAGGAUCUCGGUGCUCGUCGUGGGUUCGGGACCCGUGGGGCUGACGGCCGCGCUGGUCGCUGUCCGCUCCGGUAAGGUGCUGAAACUGACCGUGCUGGACGAGAGGUACCGCGCGGCGCUGCUCUGCCGGCCACAGCAGAUCGCCUUGGAUCCCCGCAGCGUGAAGUUUCUGCUGGGACUCGGGGUGGACUUUGAUAACAUGGAGGGCUGUUGGCACAACGAGCAUUUCUUCACCCGGAUAGGCGUGUUUCAGGAGUACCUGCUGAGCAUCCUAGAGCAGAAGAAACUGAAGGUGGACGUCAAGGUGCAGCUGGGAACCAAGUUCUCCGAGGAAUACCUGCGGCGGAUUCAGCGGAACGAGUGGCCUCGUGUGAUUGUGGUGGCCGACGGGUCGUGUGGCGACUCCUGCUCCGUGCUGGGCAUUAGCUCCGACUACACCGUGGAGUCCUGCCAUGCCUACGGAGCUAAUGCCACCAUAGAGAGACUAGAUCAGAGACAGGUUCCCACUCCUGAGAUCCGUACCCCCAGCCUCUACUUCGACCUGUCCGCCUAUGGCGUGGAGGCCCUCCGAGAGCCCAGAAAUCCCGCCGCCAAACCUGGCUUCCACCUAAAGAUCUAUGGCACCUUCAGGAACCGCUACAUGGCCCUCGCCUGCCCGGCCUCUGACACCAAGAUGGUCCGCUUCCUCCGGCACACGGCCAACUCCUCUAUCAUGAAGAAUAUUUUCCACCAGUCCUUCAAUGUUUAUAAGACGGACAUCGAGCCUCGUCUCAACGACGUGACGCUGCACCGCAUGCAGUGCAGCCGGCGUCUCUUUGAGAUUCAGUUAUCACACAGACGCAUCAGCGCUGCCUUCAUAGAGGGGGACAAUGUGGCCGUCACCGUGGAGGGGGAGGCGGCGCGCGUCCUCAACUUUGACACAGGUUGCGGAGUGAAUCUGGGUAUGCAAGGACUGGAGUCAAUGGGGACGUUCAUUUACCAGACAGCCACAGCUGUGGACCAGAACGAUGUUCUAGAGGCACUGUCUGCUAAAAUGCAACACUCCAGACAGGUGGCCGAGAGCUUCAAGCAGACAGGCCUGGCUCAAUCAAUUUAUGAAUGAAACACGAGGACGGGCAGGUGAAUGCAUAGUGCCCCCUAGUGGGAAGUGGUGGUGGAUUGUUUGUGUUUACACUGAAUGUUUACAAUGAAUCACUGUUGAUUACACACUGAAAGCAGAUGAACGGACGUGAUCUUUGCCUGGAUGAAUACAGGGUGUAAAGAUGUGACCACAAGUCGUUGUGAUGUACAAUGGGUGGAGCUAUUUAAUUAUGCAUGGAGCACACAUGCCAUGGACACAUUUGCUACGAGGCCUUUGAAGUUCUGUUUUUUCAGGUUGCAAAGCUCGUCAAUUCAAACAGAUGCAGAUGAGAUCUGACACAAUCUACAGUACAUUGUCUAUUAAUGCACUGCACUGGAUUUGGAUUCCUCUGUUAAGUGUCAGAACGAACCGGAUGAGGAGUUUCCUAAAUCUAGUCCAUUGUGUUCUCUUAACAUCGGUGUAAUGAGACUGUUGUGCAGCAACAUCAACAGGAGCUGAAUAAUGCAUUAAACUGUUAUUGUAUGUGAUUUAACAGAGGAGCACAUGUGUAGAAUCUGAUAUCCAGUCUAUCGUGCCGUUUGUCCUUGUGUUUUGCGUGGCGCAAACUGUGUUGAUGACGUUGUGAAGUAUGUGUGUGCUCUUUUUUGUGUACUUUUUAAGCAGGUUUCAAAAGCUCCCAUUAAAUAGGGCAAUUGUAAUAUCACAAACUAAUUUGGCUGGUGUCACAUUCAUUUCUAAAGAACUGAAGUGACAUUUGAGAGAUUGGGAGUAUAAUAAAAUCCUGCUCCUGUUGAAGUGCCAAUAAAUGUGGUGGUUGGGUAUAAGUUAUAUGGAUCGUCUUUACAUAGAACCCCUGUAUGUUUAAUUGGAGAUGAACGCAAUUUAACAAAGGUUAAAGCAACCAGUGUAGGAACUUGUUAGGGGUUUACAAAGAUUUUUGCAAAUCAAAUGAAAAUAAAAUGAAAAAAAACGAUGAGCCUUAAAACAGACUUAUCUUUUCAGAGUCCGAUUACUCCGUAAGCAGAAAGUUUGACAUGCUGUUGUAAAUAACUAUAUAUUUGUGAGCUGCACCCCAUUUAGACAGAACGGUAUCAUGUGUUGUUUCCAUAAUAGUUGAUAUGAGGCACUGCUGCCCUCUACUGGUGCAGCCUGUCUGUUGCACCUGCUUAGCCUCAAACUUCCACACCUGACUAAUCUCUUGUAUUUUAAGUGUAAUCGAUCCCUUAAAUAUAACUUAAGCCCACUGAUGGAACUGAGAGGGGCCCAGGAUCGUCCGAUAGGACACAAGUUGCCUUUCUGGUAUUCUUUUCUUUGGUAAAGCACUUUGUAAAAUUGUUUAGAAACAAAUGAUUAAGGGUAUUUUUAUGGCAUACUAUACUAGUACAUAUUCCAUGACACUUUUUGUAAUGUCACGCUGUACAUUGGUAUUUCCUAUAGCCUUUCUUUUCCUAUUUUACUAUCAGGUAUUUUAAGAACUUUUUGUGAAAUUUGAUUUAAUUACAAUUUCAUUUUUAACUCUU